GACGUAGGGCGCGAGCGUUGUCCGGAUUUAUUGGGCGUAAAGAGCUCGUAGGCGGCUUGUCGCGUCGACUGUGAAAUCUCAGGGCUCAACCCUGACAUUGCAGUCGAUACGGGCAGGCUGAGAGUUCGGUAGGGGAGUACUGGAAUUCCGUGGUGUAGGACGGUUCGGAAAUGCGCAGGAUAAUCAGGAGGAACACCGAUGGCGA
rnacentral:rRNA from 1 species